GUCUAUAGCCAUACUACCCUGAACAUGGCCAAUUUGGUCUGAUCUGGCAAGCUAAGUGGGGUAAGGCCUAGUUAGUACUUGGAAGGAAAAAGUAGCUCUGCCU
rnacentral:rRNA from 1 species